GACGAACGCUGGCGGCGUGCUUAACACAUGCAAGUCGAACGGAAAGGCCCUGCUUUUGUGGGGUGCUCGAGUGGCGAACGGGUGAGUAACACGUGAGUAACCUGCCCUUGACUUUGGGAUAACUUCAGGAAACUGGGGCUAAUACCGGAUAGGAGCUCCUGCUGCAUGGUGGGGGUUGGAAAGUUUCGGCGGUUGGGGAUGGACUCGCGGCUUAUCAGCUUGUUGGUGGGGUAGUGGCUUACCAAGGCUUUGACGGGUAGCCGGCCUGAGAGGGUGACCGGACACAUUGGGACUGAGAUACGGCCCAGACUCCUACGGGAGGCAGCAGUGGGGAAUAUUGCACAAUGGGCGGAAGCCUGAUGCAGCAACGCCGCGUGCGGGAUGACGGCCUUCGGGUUGUAAACCGCUUUCGCCUGUGACGAAGAGUGAGUGACGGUAAUGGGUAAAGAAGCACCGGCUAACUACGUG
rnacentral:rRNA from 1 species